UUCCAGGGGCCUCCUGGCCCCCAAAACCUCUGUGCUGCCAGGAACAGCCGGCAGUCGUCUGGGCAGACGACCUGCCGCCCAGCACCGCCAGGGAGAUCGUCUGCAGGGGAGUGUGCUCUUCAGAAAGGAAUUUGACAAAGCCAUCAAUGUCACUCUCCGGUUGGUAUCGGAGAAGCAGGACACAGACGGAGACCAAAGUGUAAGCAAGCAGCGUGCCAAUGGACAUCAUUUCUAUCAGGUCCCUCAAGCUGACCAGUAGGGAGAGUAGUGCUGCAAGAAACCCUGAGACGAUGCAAGCGACAACCGGAGUUUCUGUGUAAGAGCUCACGUGGGACAAGAAUCUAGAGCAUGAAAGAAUCAAAAGUUAAAGUGGACAUGCAUAAAGCCAGUAUCCCUGGUUCUAGGGACUUCCAGAGUCAACCCAACCCAAUAAACAGCACAAGCAAUUGCCUGAUAUGCCAAGUUUCAAGAGAUGCUGAGAUACUCUGUAAAACUGCUGAAGGAGAUUAACCAUCCCCUGCCCCCAAUGUAGAACAAUCUGAAGCAGGGAGUAGGUGCUCUUCUGUUUUUCUCAACUGCAGUCCUCUAACACCAUUCAUUUAUGGGGCAGGAGGAAAGAGUUGCAAAGGAAAGCCUUUGAAGAGGAAGCACAAUUCCUCCCAGUCCCACAUAUAACAAGAUGCAUAGUGGCGGAAGAAAGUUCAUUUGCAAAAGAAGGGGGAAGACGGGAUUAGUAAUUUGGGGUUCAAAAAGCACCCCCUUCCCAUGCAACCUUUCUGCUCUGAAGUGAUCCAAUGCAUGUAAUUUUGAGCAUGUAAUUUUGCUUCCUACAUCAAAGGUCAGCUAUCUAUCCAUUGAAGCAUAUUAGCCCUGCAGAGAUUAUCCUUCCAGGCAUUCUGGGCAGGGAGCAAGACCAAAUCUCCAACACUGUCAAUCUAUACAUCUUUCUGGUCAGGUCUCCUGACACCCACUAUUUGUUACAGAUAGCAGCUGAAGGAGCAAAAAGCGGCUUUGAGGCAAAAUUGUUUCAAAUGGUUGUUUUAAAGUUUUAACUGUUUUAAUGUUUGGUUUUGAUCCUGGUGUUAUUGUUUAUUUUGUUUUAAUUCUUGUAUUUAUCAUUUAUUUUUAAUUGUUUUGAUGUUUGGUUUAAUUCUGGUGUUAAUCGUUUAUUUUGUAAACUGCCAUGAGACAUUGGUAUGAGGUGGCAUAGAAAUAUAAUGAAUAAAUGGAUAAAAAUUUCA